GAUGAACGCUGGCGGCGUGCCUAAUACAUGCAAGUCGAGCGAACGGACGAGAAGCUUGCUUCUCUGAUGUUAGCGGCGGACGGGUGAGUAACACGUGGAUAACCUACCUAUAAGACUGGGAUAACUUCGGGAAACCUUAGCUAAUACCGGAUAAUAUUUUGAACCGCAUGGUUCAAAAGUGAAAGACGGUUUUGCUGUCCCUUAUAGAUGGAUCCUCGCUGCAUUAGCUAGUUGGUAAGGUAACGGCUUACCAAGGCAACGAUGCAUAGCCGACCUGAGAGGGUGAUCGGCCACACUGGAACUGAGACACGGUCCAGACUCCUACGGGAGGCAGCAGUAGGGAAUCUUCCGCAAUGGGCGAAAGCCUGACGGAGCAACGCCGCGUGAGUGAUGAAGGUCUUCGGAUCGUAAAACUCUGUUAUUAGGGAAGAACAUAUGUGUAAGUAACUGUGCACGUCUUGACGGUACCUAAUCAGAAAGCCACGGCUAACUACGUG
rnacentral:rRNA from 1 species